rnacentral:misc_RNA from 1 species
UGCUAUAUCUCGGACAUAGCAAUUGUAACGCAUUCGAUUACAAACUAUUGCGGUUGUUUAAUGUAGACUACGUAACAAUUUAAUGGAUCAAUAAGAAAGUCUCUUUAUUUUAGCAGCGCACUGCGAGUUCUGCGAUCACCAGAGACUAUCAAACUAACAGAUGUUAGACAAUUCUCAAUUAGUUUGUUGUAUCAACUAUAAAAUUAUAAUUUUGAAAUAGCAUUGCCCUCUUUGUGUAUGACUUUGUAUGAAAGAAGACGAGAAACAAAAGACCGAUAAAAAGAGUAAAGAGAAAAUAAGAAAGAGACGAAGACGAACAUAAGAAGAAAAGACAAAAGGCUAAUACGAAAAGAUACGCGAGGAAUAGAAAAAGGAAAUUGAACAAAAAAUUAGCAGGUUGGAACAAAAUAGAGCAUAAGCGACACGCGCAUGAAUUAGGAAACGGCGAGACCAGCUGCAGUCUAAAGAACAGCCGCAGUUCUCUACUCGUUAACCAACACCGACCAACUACACCUAUAAACAUUAUUGCCGACUUUCUAUAUGUAGAUGGAACGUUACAUCGGCAGUCAAGUAAAUUAACUCGAGAGCAUAUGAAGUGUACGGUGAUAUUCCAUAGUUAAAAUGAUUCGUAUCCUCUCGUUUUAAUUUCGUUUAGUUUGGCUCGUGACUUAUUUAUACGACAGCGGAAUUCGCACCGCUUAUGUCUCCUUAAUGCGAUUGGCAAACGAAGAAAACUAAAAGAGCGACGUAUAACUUUCAUGAUAUUCAUCCAAAGGAAAACAAAAGGUAUGUUACCGAAUACUAGUUUGAC